UGGGGAAUAUUGCACAAUGGGCGCAAGCCUGAUGCAGCCAUGCCGCGUGUAUGAAGAAGGCCUUCGGGUUGUAAAGUACUUUCAGCGGGGAGGAAGGCGGUGAGGUUAAUAACCUYGCCGAUUGACGUUACCCGCAGAAGAAGCACCGGCUAACUCCGUG
rnacentral:rRNA from 1 species